AUUGAACGCUGGCGGCAUGCUUUACACAUGCAAGUCGAACGGUAACAGGCCUUCGGGUGCUGACGAGUGGCGAACGGGGGAGUAAUGCAUCGGAACGUACCCAGAGGUGGGGGAUAACGCAGCAAAAGCUGUGCUAAUACCGCAUGUGAGCUGAGGAUGAAAGCGGGGGACCGAGCAGCAAUGUUUGGCCUCGCGCCUUUGGAGCGGCCGAUGUCGGAUUAGCUAGUUGGUGGGGUAAAGGCCUACCAAGGCGACGAUCCGUAGCUGGUCUGAGAGGACGACCAGCCACACUGGGACUGAGACACGGCCCAGACUCCUACGGGAGGCAGCAGUGGGGAAUUUUGGACAAUGGGCGCAAGCCUGAUCCAGCAAUGCCGCGUGCGGGAAGAAGGCCUUCGGGUUGUAAACCGCUUUUGGCAGGAACGAAACGGUGUCCGCUAAUACCGGGCGCUAAUGACGGUACCUGCAGAAUAAGCACCGGCUAACUACGUG
rnacentral:rRNA from 1 species